rnacentral:lncRNA from 10 species
GAGAGACCCCUGACGCGGCACCCAGCCAGACUCCAUGGUCUCUACUUCUGGAGAGAGGCUGUCGGUGACGGAGCACAGGGCUCUCAGGGGAACCGAGCGGAGACGUCUCAGCUCCUCUUCGAGGGGCCACUCCCCGCCACUCCCACCUGUGGAUUAGGGGCACGGGUGGCUCUGCGGGGGGUGGGAGGCAGCCUCGCUCUUCUUCCUUCUUACCCCCCUCUGAGCUCUUCCCGGAAUGUCUCUGCGGGGCACUCAGCUCCUCCUUGAAGGAGACAGGCUGCCUUGUUUGCCAGGCUCAGGGGCACAGGGGCAUUUCCUGCUACGGUCUUGACGGCAGAAGUUCUCUGUCCACAGUCAGCAACACCACACGCUGUCAUCUGCUUCAGAAAUUGUUCUAGGGACAAUACAGUCAGAAAAUAUGCUCAGAGGGCCACUGUCCCUAAGACCUUGGUGAUGCCAGCUGCUGGCAGGUGCACCUGACUUGCACCUGGGCCACAAAACACACACACACACCCCACACACAUGCACAGGUUUAGACGGUGCAGACACACACACAGACAGAUGUUACACGAUUCUCAUAUAUAGCUCUUUAUUUUCGGGCACACAGAGAGACACAUUCAGCAGUAGAGGGAAGUCUCCUGGUUCUGCCUCUUACUGGUGAUCUGACUUUGGGUCAAUUAUCGGAUCUCUCCAACCUUAUGGCCCUAUCUGUAAAAUGGGGAUAGCUAGAAUAUCUUCCUUAAAGGAUUGUCCGAGGAUUAAAGGAAACAACACCUGGAGAGUACAUUGAAAUAAUAAAUGGUAGCUAUGAUGAUCUCCCCCACAGAUAUAUCCACACACAGAGGCAUGGACACAUGCAGAUUUACACACACACAAAACCUCAGACAUCAAUACAUGUAUAGGAGCAGGCACAUAUCAACACAGGUGUAUUUGCACAAAGAUACAAAGACACAAACAGAACCCCCUGCCCCCACCACCAAGGAAAACAACCCCCGCAACAACCAUAAAAGCAAGUUUUACUGCCCAGGGUGUGAUGGGAGCAGGCAGCCCAGCUGGGUUGGGGGUGGAGGCCUCCGCGUCGGGCGGUGCCUGCCCUGCUCAGGUUCCCACUCAGCCCCAGGGACAGGACGCCUUCAUUCUUCCAACACGCCACUCUCUGUCCCCAAGAGCAGUCACCCCAUCCUUUCUCCACUGUCACCUGAAAUCAGGCCCUACCCUCUCCCAACAGCAUGAGCUCCAGGGUGGGGGCCCCCAGGGUGGUUGUGGUUGGUGGGAGGGCACAAUGGUCUGGUUCUCCAGGGACGGUUUGGCGGUCAGCAGGGGCGGUGGUCCUCUGGGUUGGUGGAUUCCGGUUUUGGGGAUUUGGCUGCUUGGCCUGGGAAGUAGCCCGAGGGGGACCGCCAGCCCCUGGGAAUGGCCCUCUGGGCCCUGGACAGUUUUAGGCAGCUCUGCUCUACUUUGCCUUGUGCAGCUCCCCAGCUCUUGCCUGAACUCCUUCCUGGAGCUGG